GCCCAUUUGGCUCAGUGGAAAGAGCAUCAGCCUGUGCACUGAAGAGUCCUGGUUUGAUUCCGGUCAAGGGCA
rfam:Myotis lucifugus cont2.58099, whole genome shotgun sequence.